UACGGAGGGAGCUAGCGUUGUUCGGAAUUACUGGGCGUAAAGCGCACGUAGGCGGCUUUGCAAGUUAGAGGUGAAAGCCCGGGGCUCAACCCCGGAAUUGCCUUUAAAACUGCAUCGCUAGAAUUGUUGAGAGGUAAGUGGAAUUCCGAGUGUAGAGGUGAAAUUCGUAGAUAUUCGGAAGAACACCAGUGGCGAAGGCGACUUACUGGACACAUAUUGACGCUGAGGUGCGAAAGCGUGGGGAGCAAACAGG
rnacentral:rRNA from 1 species